rnacentral:lncRNA from 1 species
ACUACUACUACUAUUCUCUCCUAGCUCAUUCGGGCAGCCUCUAUCCACUCCAUCUCAUAAGUUACCCACUUGCGUGGAUUGCCUCCUAGCUAAAAAACUUGUAACAUCUACAGGAUCACAGUCAAGUACUUUCAGAGUUGCAUUAAUGAGAACAUACUUCAAGCUUCCUCUGUGCAAAAGCCUUCCUCCUGGUGCAGCUGGGACUCUUCCAAGAGGGAGUUGCUAUUGAGAUUCCUGAACCACAAUAACAUAAAUUAGUGUUCCAUGUUGCAAUAUUCACAUUUUUUAUGCUAAUAAGAUGCUUGACAGAUCUUACAAUCUUUGUAUUGAUGACAGCUGUCCAAGGCUUUCAGGAAUUGAUCAGUUGAAAAUUGUAUGGUAGGUCUCUGCAGUACAAUGACAGCUUCAGACAUUACAUUUAGCCAAAAAAUUGUGUUAUAUAUAUAUAUAUAUAUAUAUAUAUAUAUAUAUAUAUAUAUAUAUAUAUAUAUAUAUAUAUCAAGUGUGACUAUUGGAAAUAAAAAAAGAAGGGCACAAAAAUCAAGCAUAGGAGUUUAGAGGUUUUAC